UGCCAGCCGCCGCGGUAAUACGGAGGGGGUUAGCGUUGUUCGGAAUUACUGGGCGUAAAGCGUACGUAGGCGGAUUAAUAAGUUAGAGGUGGAAUCCCAGGGCUCAACCCUGGAACUGCCUUUAAAACUGUUAGUCUUGAGAUCGAGAGAGGUGAGUAGAAUUCCAUGUUUAGGGAUAAGCCCCGUAGAUAUAUGGAGGAACACCUGUGGCGAAGGCGACUCUUUAGUAAAAACUGACGUUGAGGGACGAAAGUGUAGGGAGCAAACAGGAUUAGAUA
rnacentral:rRNA from 1 species